rnacentral:ncRNA from 13 species
CUUGAUGAGUACACUCUUUGCUGAUUCAAUGAGGAGAGUGGCCAGGGCUGAAGAGG